UACAGAGGUCUCAAGCGUUGUUCGGAUUCAUUGGGCGUAAAGGGUGCGCAGGCGGCGGGGCAAGUCGGACGUGGAAUCUCGGGGCUUAACCCCGAAACUGCGUUCGAUACUGCCCUGCUUGAGGACUGGAGAGGAGACUGGAAUUCCUGGUGUAGCAGUGAAAUGCGUAGAUAUCAGGAGGAACGCCAAUGGCGAAGGCAAGUCUCUGGACAGUUCCUGACGCUCAUGCACGAAGGCCAGGGGAGCAAACGGG
rnacentral:rRNA from 1 species